AAAGCUGGAACAAGAAGAAAAAAAGGGAAAAAAAAAAAAAGAGAGAAAGAAAUAGAACUCCGGUUGGAGAGAAAGAAAACAAGCAUGACAGGUGGGCCAGUCAUGCAGGCUGUGCUAAAAGAGACACGCCCCACCUGAAAGCGAUCUACCCCCCCCCCCCCCCCCAGCCCCCCCCUCAGUAUUUCAACAGGAACAGAUGCACAGGUACCACAACGGCCCACACGUUUACCAUUUAAACAAGAAGAAAUAAGGCUGGGCACCGUGGUGUGGACACGGCGGAUCAACUGUACAGAGUUGGAACGUAAAUCUGGAUUACCUGUAGAGUGGGUGUGGGUACGCUCUAUAGAAAGAGAAUAAAGGCGAGGAUAAGGUGGAUGAAUUGCACAGAACCAGAGAACCAGUAAAUGUGUGGGUAAGGUAAGCAAACUGCACAGACAAAUAAAGGCAUGGAUAAGGCAAGUAAGCUACAGGGCAGAAUAGAGGGGUGGAUAAAGCAAGUAAACUACAGACAGAAUAAAGCUGUGAAUAAGGUAAGUAUGCUACAGACCGAAUAAAGCUGUGAAUAAGGUAAGUAUACUACAGACAGAAUAAAGUUGCGAAUAAGGUAAGUAUACUACAGACAGAAUAAAGCUGUGAAUAAGGUAAAUAUACUACAGACACAAUAGAGGUGUGGAUAAGGCAAGUAAACUACAGACAGGAUAGAGGUGUGGAUACGGUAAGUAAAUUACUGACAGAAUAGAGAUGUGGAUAAGGCGAGUAAGCUACAGACAGAAUAAAAGUGUGGAUAAGGUAAGUAAACUACAGAGACAGAAUAGAGGGUUGGAUAAGACAAGUAAACUACAGACAGAAUAAAGCUGUGGAUAAGGUAAGUAAACUACAGAGACAGAUAAAGGUGAGUAUACUAUAAGUAAACUGUAUAGACAGAUAAAGGUGUGUACAAGGUAAGUAAACUACAAAGGCAGAAUAAAGGUCUGUAUGAGGUAAGUAAACUAUACUGAGGUACAAUAAAGUUGAGUAUAACGUAAGUAAAACUGUACCAAGACAAACUAAAGGUAUGAAUAAGAUAAAUAAACUGCACCGAGACACAAUAAAUGUCAGUAUAAGGUAAGUAAACUGUACCGAGACAGAAUAAAGGUGUGGAUAAGGAAAGCAAACUACAGAGACAGAUAAAGUUGCGUGAAAGGUAAGUAAACUGUAUAGAGACAGAAUAAAGGUGAGUAUAAGGUAAGUAAACUGAGCAGAAGCAGAAUAAAGGCAUUGAUAAGGUAAGUAAACUGUACAGAAGUAGAAUAAAGUGUGGAUAAGGUAAGUAAACUGUAAAGACAGAAUAAAUGGAUAAGGUAAGUAAAAUGUACAGAAUCAGAGUAAAGGCAUGGAUAAGGUAAGUAAGGUAAGUAAACUGUACAGAAUCAGAGUAAAGGCAUAGAUAAGUAAGGUAAGUAAACUGAAAAGACACAAUAAAUUGAUAAGGUAAGUAAACUGUACAGAAUCAGAGUAAAGGCAUAGAUAAGGUAAGUAAGGUAAGUAAACUGUAAGGACAGAAUAAAGGCAUGGAUAAGGUAAGUAAGGUAAGUAAACUAUAAAGUCAGAAUAAACGGAUAAGGUAAGUAAGGUAAGUAAACUGUAAAGACAGAAUAAAGGCAUGGAUAAGGUAAGUAAGGUAAGUAAACUGUAAAGUCAGAAUAAACGGAUAAGGUAAGUAAGGUAAGUAAACUGUAAAGUCAGAAUAAACGGAUAAGGUAAGUAAGGUAAGUAAACUGUAAAGACAGAAUAAAGGCAUGGAUAAGGUAAAUAAGGUAAGUAAACUGUAAGGACAGAAUAAAGGCAUGGAUAAGGUAAGUAAGGUAAGUAAACUGUAGAGUCAGAAUAAACGGAUAAGGUAAGUAAGGUAAGUAAACUGUAAGGACAGAGUAACGGGGCGGGCGGCGUGCAGUGGACAGUGCUGGCGGGACACUCACGGUGCAG